ACUCAAAUGAAUUGACGGGGGCUCACACAAGCGGUGGAGCAUGUGGCUUAAUUCGAGGCUACGCGAAGAACCUUAUCCUGGGCUUGACAUGUGCGAAAGCGGCAGGGAGUAGGGGACGGAAACGCACCCCCAACGGUAUCCAGUCCGGAACCUGCCACAGGUGCUGCAUGGCUGUCGUCAGCUCGUGUCGUGAGAUGUCGGGUUAAGUCCCAUAACGAGCGAAACCCUUGUCUCCAGUUGCUACCCGCAAGGGAGGACUCUGGAGAGACUGCCGGUGUUAAACCGGAGGAAGGCGGGGAUGACGUCAAGUCCUCAUGGCCUUUAUGCCCAGGGCUGCACACGUGCUACAAUGGCGCGAACAAAGGGACGCAACAGCGCGAGCUUGAGCCAAUCCCAAAAAACGCGCCCCAGUUCAGAUCGGAGGCUGCAACUCGCCUCCGUGAAGUUGGAAUCGCUAGUAAUCGCAGGUCAGCAACACUGCGGUGAAUGUGUUCCUGAGCCUUGCACACACCGCCCGU
rnacentral:rRNA from 1 species